rnacentral:rRNA from 1 species
AUGAACGCUAGCUACAGGCUUAACCCAUGCAAGUCGAGGGGCAGCGGUAUCGAAAGCUUGCUUUCGGUAGCCGGCGACCGGCGCACGGGUGAGUAACGCGUAUCGAACCUGCCUCAUACUCGGGAAUAGCCUUGCGAAAGUAAGAUUAAUGCCCGGUGUUUUCAGAGUCCCGCAUGAGGCUUUGAACAAAGAUUUAUCGGUAUGAGAUGGCGAUGCGUCCCAUUAGCUUGUUGGCGGGGUAACGGCCCACCAAGGCAUCGAUGGGUAGGGGUUCUGAGAGGAAGGUCCCCCACAUUGGAACUGAGACACGGUCCAAACUCCUACGGGAGGCAGCAGUGAGGAAUAUUGGUCAAUGGGCGGAAGCCUGAACCAGCCAAGUAGCGUGCAGGAAGACGGCCCUCCGGGUUGUAAACUACUUUUAGUUGGGAAUAAAACGGGGCUCGUGAGCCCCCUUGCAUGUACCAUCAGAAAAAGGACCGGCUAAUUCCGUG